UAAACCCCCCUCCCCUCUCACCCCUCGUUCUAUUCUCUAAAAUUCCAAAAAAAAAUAAAAAAAAGAAGAGAGGGGUGAGAAGAAAGAAAGCGGCGAAGCCCUGCCGAAGUGCGCAUAUGUGAUCUGCAGGUAUUAACGUUUGACCUUUCAUUGUGAUUUUCUUAUGAAUCAGAUAGAAGUAAUAUUUAUAUAUUGAAAUAUUGGAUCGUAAUCUUAGAAUAAUAGUAGCUAUUAUUAUUUCAGCAUUUCGCCAUGGCUGCCUCCAAUUUUGGAGGUUUUUUCUGGACCGAAGAGAAAUCUACUAUAAUACUUGAUAUCGUGAAAGAUCUUGUGCUUAGAAAGAAGUUGGAUCCACUUGCGGAUGGUAUGAUAGAGAUGGUUAUGGCCAAAGUAUUAGGGUUUCAAGUUUGCACACUGUUUCAUGGUAUUACAACGCAAGAUCUAAAGGGACACCUGCUAGAACGCCGUAAGGUUUACAUGCGUAUAUGUGAACUUGCGAAUCAUCCUAAUGUUAUUGGAUUCUUAUAAAGUACUUCUAAGAUAUGGAUGCGGCCAGAGGUGUAUGAGAUACACAUUAAGGAUUUUCCUGGGGACACGGAGUUGAUUAACAAAUCAAUACCCAAUUUCCGUAAAUUGGUAUUAAUCUUCGGUGGCCCUAUGUCUCAAACUAGACGAAGGAGGUGCCGAAGAUCGUCGGGUAAUUCAAUUUUGCGUCCGCAUGAAUAGAGAUCCGGAUGUUCAUCAAGUCAUACUGCACCACCAGCAUCACGAACUUCUGUUAACCUCGACGACGACCAAGAUGACUUCAUGCCACCCAAACCAUGGCUCCAAGACCUGAUCAGCGAACCGGAGGUUCGUCCAGUCGUACUCGACCACCUGCAGCACCAUCUUGUGUUACCUGGGACGACGAUGAUGAUUUCAUGCCCCCCAAACCUUGGCUUCCAAGACCUGAUCAGGGAACCAGAGGUUCGUCCAGUCGUAACGCACCACCUUCAGCACCAUCUUGUGUUAACUGGGAUGACGACGAUGAUGAUUUUAUGCCCCCCAAACCUUGGCCUCCAAGAUAGGAUCUGAGAACCGGAGAUUCGUCCAAGUCUUCAAACUCUCGUGCAGCACCACCCUAUGAGAACUCGGAUGACGAUGUAGAUGAUUUCAUGACAUGAUCUAUGAUAUGUGUUGUACUGAACAUGGAAGUUUGCAUUUGUUGUGUAUAAAUAAAUGUUAGUUUAUGGUUUCAA